rnacentral:lncRNA from 1 species
UGAUCAUCUUCAAACUACUCGCUCCCAGUGCUUGGUUAUUUUAUUUGGGUAGGUCACCAAGCAGAUACUAUAAGGUAAUGGGGAAAAUGUUGUAAUGAUUAUUAUUAAUAGACUAUUUGAUGAUCUCUAGAUAGAAUAUUUUAAUUUUUGGUGGCACUGUAAGUCACAAGGACCUCUUUCUACAUUAUGUAGGCAUGUGGGGGCCAACACUGCCAUCUCAUGAUACUUUUAUAGCUUUAUAAUGCUUUGUAGUUUUCCACUUUACUCUUUGUAAAUUAUUCGUUGUGCAUGUGUCCACAGAGGAAUCACUGUCCAUGAAUCUCCCUGCAUAAAUUUCUCUGUUUACUCAUUCUGUGUUGAUUAGUCAAUUCCUGUGGAAGGUUGAAAGAUGAGCCUGCUGCAGUCAAAACCUUUGUUUCCUGUAGGGAUAAGUAAUUAACUGUAGUUCUAUUCUAGGUCCUGUCACAUAAUGUGAAGGUCAAUUUCACGUAUCAACUUGACUAGGCUGAGAGAUGCCCACAUAGGUGAUAAGACAUUAUUUCUGGGUGCACCUGCAAUGGUGUUUUCAGAAAAGAUUAGCAUUUGGAUUAGUAAAGAGGAUAAUCCUUACCAAAGUGGGCAGUCAUUAUCCAAAGGAAGGGUGAAUUUUUUUCUCUCUGUUUGGGACAUCCAUCUUACCUGGGAUUUCUAGGCUCCUGGUUCUAUACCAUACAAUUUCUCUGGAACUUAAGCUGUAGCCCCUCCACCUACCCAGACCUUCAGACUUGACAGAAUUACACUACUGAUUUCCUUGCUUGUCUAGAUUGCAGAGAUCAUGGGCUUUUCCUUCUCCAAAAAUAUGUGAGGCAAUUUCUGUCUUAAAAAAUGUUUGUCUGUGUACAUAUACUACACACACACACACACACACACACACACACACAUUCUCUGUAUACAUGUAUAUUCUGUUUCUGUGGAGAACCCUAU